rnacentral:lncRNA from 1 species
GCCUCGACAUCGAACGCAUCCCCACGCAACAGCCCAUCGACCAUGACCUAGUGCGUGCAUCGAUCUUAUCACCACUGCAGCUUUGUUUCACCCCAUACUUUAGCCCUCAAUUACACUUUCAACCUCUAUCUCUUAAGGUGACAGGUGGGCCCAAUCUGCUGCGUCGUCAGUUCUCCCUCUCUCCCGGGGCGCGGAGCUGCGCAAGCUUUCCUCCUUAAUACCCGUCUCACCCCUUCCACGACAGUUGCUAUGCUCUCCUCUUCACCGACCUCCUAUAUUGGACCAGCGUCCCAUCUAUACCGGUGACAGUGUAUUAGUGAGUCGAAUCAUCUUCGGCCAUACGUCCCGAUGACAUUUAGUCACCCGCACUUGUAGUGAUGAUUGAUGGUGUGAUGGGGAUAACAGGGAGGAAGAACGACCCGAACCAUGCUAAUAUCAUAUUCCCUCCAUCCUAAAUUAUAAGUCACUUUGGAUUUUCUAGAUUCACAUAUUUUACCAUGCAUCUAGAUAUAGUUCCUCCGUUCCAAAUUGUAG